rnacentral:lncRNA from 1 species
CCAGGAGAAUAUUAUAAUAAUAUAGACAAAAGGAAGGAUGUGGGGAAAGCAAGAAAUGCGGCAAAAUAUGACAUAUAGAAAACAAAAUGGUUAUGGAGUAAACAUUCGUGUGACAACAACUCAGACGAUACAUAAAAAUCCGGCAGAAUAAUGAAGAAAAAGUUGGUUUCCCUAUAUACGUGUACCUGCAGUGUUAGUGUACGAGGCGCGUUUAUGAUUUUCAUUAUGUUACUUGAUAUGAAAAAU